UGACAAAUUUGCUCCCUUGUUACAUCUUUC
rnacentral:piRNA from 1 species